AGAUUGAACGCUGGCGGAAUGCUUUACACAUGCAAGUCGAACGGCAGCACGGGACUCAGGCAACUGAGCCCUGGUGGCGAGUGGCGAACGGGUGAGUAACAUAUCGGAACGUACCCAGUCGUGGGGGAUAACUCUCCGAAAGGAGAGACUAAUACCGCAUACGUCCUGAGGGAGAAAGCGGGGACCUAAGGGUAACUGAGGGCCUCGCGCGAUUGGAGCGGCCGAUAUCGGAUUAGCUAGUUGGUGAGGUAAAGGCUCACCAAGGCGACGAUCCGUAGCGGGUCUGAGGAGGACGACCCGACCACACUGGAACUGAGACGACCGGUCCAGACCUCCUACGGGACGGC
rnacentral:rRNA from 1 species